CUAAGUAGAUACAAUGACUGUUAUUCUAUUCAUUUUUAAGAUGAAAAAAACAGAAAAAAAAAGAUUUAAAAGAUCAAGGGUUCGUCAAGUUCCUGUUGCGCGGCUAUGAAUGAUGGGGUAAUCAAGUCAAGAAAACGACGUUUGAAUAAUGUUUAACGAAACGAGGGGGGGUUUUUACGACGGUGUUUAAUCGCCGUCGUCGAUCACGGGACACACGUUCGUCCCAACAAUAGAAAGAAGAGAAGAAUAGGACGAAAAAAAAAAAAAAACUGAUUUCUCUGUCCGUUUUCUAAAUGGUUUACGGAGAAAUUGGAAAACAAUAGACGCCGAUCCAUUUUCAGAGCAACGAGAAAAGAGUCGAUUUGGAUGCUAGACAUUAUGUUUGACUCGUCAUUCCACGAAAUCACCGGCACUUCUUUCUGCCACCCUUUUUUCUCCCUUCGCUUUUCUAUACCCAUUUUUCUUGGGAGCCGAGAGUCGGAAAGAUGAGCGACGCCAGGAGGAGGCCAACACCAUGCAGCGUGUGGGAAAGCCUUCUCUAACACAGGCGCAGCGGUGCUCGACCUCCCCUUUCCUGCUUCAAACUCUCUGUCAGCCGAUCAGUUAUCUUUCAGCCAUCCGCACUUAGUCGGAAGCCCAUUUCGUCGAAAUAAUCACCGAUUCUUGGAAUUGACGCAGGAACCUCAGCAACUCAAGUUUAUCCUUCGGGCCCCCCUCUUCUUCUCCCCCCCAUACCUCUCAUCUUACAUCCCUCCCACCCUUCCUCCCUCUUGUUUUCUUCUUCCCUACUCCUGAAAUCUCCUCCUCUUUCUGGCUCUUACGACAACAACGAGAUGAACUGCCGUCCUAGACUUCAGUCUUCGUUCAGCUCCCCAAGUUUCAACCAGCUUUUUUUUUUUUUUCGAUCUUUAGGUGGAGCAUCACGUUUUUGAAGUCAAUACGGAGGAUCGAGAAAAGAGGUAACUUACCGGCGACCGAUGAACAUGACGGUGACGAUAAUGACGACGAGAAGAGCCGCACCGAAGGUAAUGCCCAAAAUCUGCGCGAUGGAAAGUCCUGUUUGGAAGAGAGAAGAGAAACGGAAAUUAGAAUUGAUUAAACAAUCAUGUCAAAUAUGUUUGAAUAGGAUUGAUCUCAAUAAACGUAAACACAACAAA